GACGAACGCUGGCGGCGUGCUUAACACAUGCAAGUCGAACGGUAAGGCUCCAGCUUGCUGGGGUACACGAGUGGCGAACGGGUGAGUAACACGUGGGUGACCUGCCCUGCACUUCGGGAUAAGCCUGGGAAACUGGGUCUAAUACCGGAUAGGACCGCACCGUGAGGGUGUGGUGGAAAGUUUUUUCGGUGUGGGAUGGGCCCGCGGCCUAUCAGCUUGUUGGUGGGGUAAUGGCCUACCAAGGCGGCGACGGGUAGCCGGCCUGAGAGGGUGGACGGCCACAUUGGGACUGAGACACGGCCCAGACUCCUACGGGAGGCAACAGUGGGGAAUAUUGCACAAUGGGCGGAAGCCUGAUGCAGCGACGCCGCGUGGGGGAUGACGGCCUUCGGGUUGUAAACUCCUUUCACCAUCGACGAAGGGUUUCUGACGGUAGAUGGAGAAGAAGCACCGGCUAACUACGU
rnacentral:rRNA from 1 species